rnacentral:tRNA from 1 species
UCCCUAGUGGCUCAGAUGGUAAAGCGUCUGCCUGCAAUGCGGGAGACCAGGGUUCGAUUCCUGGGUCGGGAA